GGUAUCAAAGCUUGAAAGAGAGAAGACUCAAGAAGCAAAGAGGAUUCGUGAGCUGGAGCAGCGCAAGCACACGGUGCUGGUGACAGAACUCAAAGCCAAGCUCCAUGAGGAGAAGAUGAAGGAGCUGCAGGCUGUGAGGGAGAACCUUAUCAAGCAGCACGAGCAGGAAAUGUCAAGGACGGUGAAGGUACGUGACGGAGAGAUCCAGAGGCUCAAGUCUGCUCUCUGUGCUCUCCGCGAUGGCAGCAGUGACAAAGUAAGGACAGCGCUCACCAUUGAGGCCCGGGAGGAGGCCCGGAAACUGUUUGACACAGAGCGCCUUAAGCUCUUACAGGAAAUUGCAGACCUGAAAACGGCCAAGAAGCAGGUGGACGAGGCUCUGAGCAAUAUGAUCCAAGCAGAUAAAAUCAAGGCUGGGGACCUUCGGAGUGAGCAUCAGUCCCACCAAGAAGCCAUCUCGAAGAUCAAGUGGGAGUCGGAGCGGGAUAUUCGGAGGCUGGAUUUGCGAAGAAAUCAAAAGAGAAUAGCUGAAUUGAAUGCCACUAUAAGAAAAUUAGAAGACAGGAAUACCUUGCUUGGAGAUGAACGAAAUGAACUG
rnacentral:sRNA from 1 species